GGGCGGUUAGCUCAGCUGGUUAGAGCGUCGGUCUCACAUACCGAAGGUCAUGUGUUCAAGUCACAUACCGCCCA
rfam:Candidate division TA06 bacterium DG_78 WOR1_52_54_19233, whole genome shotgun sequence.